rnacentral:rRNA from 1 species
GAUGAACGCUGGCGGCGUGCCUAAUACAUGCAAGUCGAGCGAACGGACGAGAAGCUUGCUUCUCUGAUGUUAGCGGCGGACGGGUGAGUAACACGUGGAUAACCUACCUAUAAGACUGGGAUAACUUCGGGAAACCGGAGCUAAUACCGGAUAAUAUUUUGAACCGCAUGGUUCAAAAGUGAAAGACGGUCUUGCUGUCACUUAUAGAUGGAUCCGCGCUGCAUUAGCUAGUUGGUAAGGUAACGGCUUACCAAGGCAACGAUGCAUAGCCGACCUGAGAGGGUGAUCGGCCACACUGGAACUGAGACACGGUCCAGACUCCUACGGGAGGCAGCCGUAGGGAAUCUUCCGCAAUGGGCGAAAGCCUGACGGAGCAACGCCGCGUGAGUGAUGAAGGUCUUCGGAUCGUAAAACUCUGUUAUUAGGGAAGAACAUAUGUGUAAGUAACUGUGCACAUCUUGACGGUACCUAAUCAGAAAGCCACGGCUAACUACGUGCCAGCAGCCGCGGUAAUACGUANGUGGGCAGCGUUAUCCGGAAUUUAUGGGCGUAAGCGCGCGUAGGCGGUUUUUUAAGUCUGAUGUGAAAGCCCACGGCUCAACCGUGGAGGGUCAUUGGAAACUGGAAAACUUGAGUGCAGAAGAGGAAAGUGGAAUUCCAUGUGUAGCGGUGAAAUGCGCAGAGAUAUGGAGGAACACCAGUGGCGAAGGCGACUUUCUGGUCUGUAACUGACGCUGAUGUGCGAAAGCGUGGGGAUCAAACAGGAUUAGAUACCCUGGUAGUCCACGCCGUAAACGAUGAGUGCUAAGUGUUAGGGGGUUUCCGCCCCUUAGUGCUGCAGCUAACGCAUUAAGCACUCCGCCUGGGGAGUACGACCGCAAGGUUGAAACUCAAAGGAAUUGACGGGGACCCGCACAAGCGGUGGAGCAUGUGGUUUAAUUCGAAGCAACGCGAAGAACCUUACCAAAUCUUGACAUCCUUUGACAACUCUAGAGAUAGAGCCUUCCCCUUCGGGGGACAAAGUGACAGGUGGUGCAUGGUUGUCGUCAGCUCGUGUCGUGAGAUGUUGGGUUAAGUCCCGCAACGAGCGCAACCCUUAAGCUUAGUUGCCAUCAUUAAGUUGGGCACUCUAAGUUGACUGCCGGUGACAAACCGGAGGAAGGUGGGGAUGACGUCAAAUCAUCAUGCCCCUUAUGAUUUGGGCUACACACGUGCUACAAUGGACAAUACAAAGGGCAGCGAAACCGCGAGGUCAAGCAAAUCCCAUAAAGUUGUUCUCAGUUCGGAUUGUAGUCUGCAACUCGACUACAUGAAGCUGGAAUCGCUAGUAAUCGUAGAUCAGCAUGCUACGGUGAAUACGUUCCCGGGUCU